GAUAGCUCUUGCUUCAAAGGGAUAUGCCCUCUAAAAUUCCUAUAUAUUCCUGGUUAGACAAUAACAUUUUCUCGGCACAGCACAUAUAAUACAUGCAAAUACUGUAGUUUGAAGGGUUGAGUUUCGUUAUUAGUACAUGGUACGUGACGAAUUUAACUAUUGAACAGUACUUAUAACAGAACAGGUUUUAUUAACGUUAUUGGAUUGUAAAUGGGAUUAUAAAGGCAAUAUGCUCAUUUGAUUCGUGAGAAUAUUGAUAUAAAGCAGAUCAGCAGAUACAAAACGAUUUUCAUCUACAAUUACACUGGGAAAAAAGGUAACAUUACGUACAGGUAAACAGGACAUGUAACAAAAUAAGGAAGCAAAAACGGAUGAGAAUAAACUUAUAAAAACAGCACAAAGUCAUUCUUCAGCAUAAUUCCACAGGGACACAAAACAAGUGACAACACGCAAACAGAGUUGAAAUAUAGUUUUUUAAGGAUAUAACCCGACACAUGAAUAGACGACAGUUUAAUGGUCAGUAUUAACACAGAAAUUACUCAUGAAGUGACAUUUACAAAAGAAAGACCUACUCUGGAAAUAUAUUGUAAAAAAACAUUUUCGUGAAACAUAAAAGAUGGACAUCAAUUCUAAUUUGGAUUCAAAUAUGGGCCUGUCAUCUCGGCGCUCUAGAAGGUCAGACUUCCUUUGCGAAAGUAAAGUCGCAAGUCGUAUAAAAAACUUUGAAACAAAAAGCGUUAAGUCCAAGGGAAAUAAGGUUAAUGAAAGAAAAAUUGACAACAACAAUGUUCGUCAUUUGAGAGAAUCAUGGCUCCGCUCUGAAAGCAAGGACAAAAAUGGGGUGAGAAAAUCUAUUAAAUCUAUUGAUGAUAAGUCUCGUAAUUGUGAUGAACAAUCUAACAGAAAAAAUGUAAAUGGCCAAUUUUACAGAGGUAAGAUAAACCUCAAGGCCAGUUGCAACACCGAAGAUACAAAUGUCACGCAAGUCGAUGGAACGUCAGUUGUACCCAUAUUUGACCACGAUUCGUCUAAAAUUGAUAAACUAGAUACUGAAUUUAUUUCGGAUAUAUCUAAUAAUAACACUAAGUGCUUUCCUGAAGAAGUAUCUUAUCAGAUAUCAGACAACUAUACGAAGGAGAAUCCCGGUGUUGAAGAAAAUGAACCAGAGACAAGGGACGAAACAAUCUCAAGAAACAAAUGGACAAUUAACACAGUUAACGUGCAUAAAGAAAGUAUAGAAGUUGAAAAUGAUACGGAUAUAUUCUCUGGCCGACAAGCACUGUCUCAAGAAGACUCCGACAAAACAGGAUACCUUUGGACAAUAAAAACAGCAAUAGUUCACAGGGAAAGCAUAGACAUUACCGAAAACAAAGCUGACGAUUUGGAAAAUUUUAUUAUUAAUGAUACAGAGUCAAAUGACGGUGAAGACGAUGAUAUAUGUGUAGAUGAUUUGCACAUUAGUGAGGAAAGCUCCGAUGACAACGACAAUGAUGAUGGUGAUAAUGAUGUUGACUUUGACCGUACAUUAACUGCAUCAGAAUCAUUCUUUAAAUUCAUUGCUCAAAACGUUGAGGAAGGCGGCGAAAAUUCGGACAAUCAAAACAUUGACCACACAGAACCCAGUAUAACAAAACCUUUACCCAAUGCAAUCCCUAUAAUUGAAGAAAAUGUGAAUAUUCAAAAACACGUUCCAGAAAAACUAGUGAAAACUACAAAUGACAACAUCAAUGCAAACACUGUGAUACCCAGUCAAAACGCCGAUCACAUCCCAAUAUCUGUGAUUCCAAACAGACCAAGGAGAAAAUCCCCGAUUACGAAGCCAGAACGGAUUAAAAUCCAACCACCAACCGACUCAUAUUUGGGUAUUCCCAAAGUCAGCCGCAGACGACGGUGUGGGGUCGUUCUUCAACCUACUCUCGAACAAGUACCCGACUGGAAUCAAACUAUGGAAGACUUGAAAAGUCUCGCUCCAGAUUGGCGAAAGAAUGUCCAUCAUGUUAGCCCAAAUAGUAACAGUACAACGGAAAACAAUUCAUUUGGAGUUAAAUCUAAGACUCAGUUCCUGACCAAAUCUGACAGUAAUUCCACAUUAUAUGAUAUAAGUGAAGAGGGAAAUGAUGAUGAACAUGCAAACAACCACAACGUAAUGGCCCGACACUCUAGUCAAACUGAUCUAGGCACUCUGAAAACAAUGGCUGAAAAACUGAAAUUAAAAACUAGACGCCCAAGUUAUGUUCAAUGGAAACAACAAUACGUAGAUCGCCCCUUAUUAGCAAGGCUGAACAAUGACUACAGGGUGGUUGUACGGGAGAAUAUGGAAUGGACAGAACGGAAAGAUGAAAUAAACAAAGCACUGGCCUGGCUGAGACAUGAACUGAUCCAAAUGAAGCAAGAGGACCAAAUUCUAGCCCGACAGCUAGUGGCACUGAGGCAUGAAAUUAACCGUGUAAGACUGGAAAAAAGCUGUGACGAACACCGAGAAACUAUAGAUGACGCCAUGUACGAGUUAGAAGAACAGGCAGAGGAAUACACAAGUUUGUGUGACACGCCGACAGAUUUGCUCAGUCCAACACCACUGCGUCAAAUAGGGGUCACACGUAUGAAUAUCACGUCAAGAAGAUUUUCUGUUUUCUAAAGUGGGACUUAAUUACCCUGAGCAUCCUUUACAAGACCAUUCUGCUUAAAGUAAAUUAAAUACAUGCCAAAUGUGAUGUGAAGAAAUAUGUCAAUAUAGAUAUAGAAACACCGACUCGGUAAUUUGAAUUAGUUUUAAAUGAUCAGUUCGACGGCACAUUGUAUAGAGUUCUACUCUAUGCGUGUGAUGAUGAUGAAGGAAGGAGUGAAAUAUGUUUGGUGUCCUGAUUUCCACUUAUAAAUCUUGUGCAUAUGCUUAUUAAGUUCAUUGUUUUUCUGUAUAUUUUUACGCACGUAUACCUAUCAUGGAUUUCUGAGCAAUCUAUUUGGAAUCACAGAUUUAUUUUCGUUGUAAGAAUUAAAGAAGAUGAAUAUCAGAAUGUGAUUUAAAAGAUGUUACAAAAUAUGUUAUCAUUUUGAUAAAUUGAACGCCACUUUGCUUGAAGUGACAUCGUUAGCUAGUCUAUUGGUGACAUUAAGGUGAUGCUAAAAUGAAAAUUCUUAUCAGUGUACAAAUCAUUCAUCAAAUAUAGUUCCAGAUAUAACAUUUAAAGUGAUGUGUAUUGAAUACAAAUCACCUGUGUUAACCAGGGGAAACACGCGUUCAAUAUCGCUUUUGUUAUUUCGAAAACCUUUGAACCUAUGAAAACCUAUGAAAACUUUUUAUUCAAUUCCAUGUAAUAAUAUACCUUCUGGUGACAGGUGUUUGGCUGCUUUGGCGAUGUCGCCCAUUUAAACAAAAAACUAAUCGAUCAAUCAAUCAAACAACUUACAAACUAAGAAAUAAACAAACAAGCCAACUUAACUAACUAACGAAUAACCAAGGUCCAUUCUGAUAAGUUACUAGCACCAUGUAGCAUGGUUUAAUCAUCUUUAUAAACUUCAUGAUAGGGCAAAAACAUAUUGAUUUAUUUCAUAUCAUCGUAUUUAUUUAUUUCUUUGAUGUCACUCAUUUCUUUCAUAUCAACGAAGAUUCAUAUCUUUUUAUUGUAUAGAAUUCUAAACUAAUCUUUAGAGCAUGUUUUUUUUGUAAACAAAAUGUAAUAUAGAAUAAAAGAAAAAUAUAUAAAUAAAAACAAGACUUGUUACAUUGACAGAACCCAUAAUUCAAGGUGAUGUUGUGAGAACAUUGUGUAACCUAACACCUCUUUGCAAUACCUCUGUUAUCAUCACAUAUUUCUAUAUAUUAAUGAUAAUAUUCGAAAAAGAAGUGUAGGAAUUCGUGAUUAUUGAAGUUUUCACCUGGUUAGUUUCACCAAUAAAACCGUAUGGUACAGAGAACAAUUUUUAAUGUGAUAUCUCUAAAAUUGAAAACAUGUUGAUAUAGUAAGAAUAUUUGUCGUACUUCCUCAAUAAAACAGACUAGUCAUUCCAAUAGAGCUGUUUAAUGUUUCCAUAACAUCUGAGUAAACAGAAUAAAUAUGGC
rnacentral:misc_RNA from 1 species